rnacentral:rRNA from 1 species
UACGAAGGGGGCUAGCGUUGCUCGGAAUCACUGGGCGUAAAGCGCACGUAGGCGGCUUUUUAAGUCAGGGGUGAAAUCCUGGAGCUCAACUCCAGAACUGCCUUUGAUACUGAGAAGCUUGAGUCCGGGAGAGGUGAGUGGAACUGCGAGUGUAGAGGUGAAAUUCGUAGAUAUUCGCAAGAACACCAGUGGCGAAGGCGGCUCACUGGCCCGAUACUGACGCUGAGGCGCGAAAGCGUGGGGAGCAAACAGG